rnacentral:lncRNA from 10 species
UGACUAUCUUCUACUACCCAUUCUGUACUCCCUUUGCCUUCAGCAAGCACCUCAGCAGGUCGUGGUUUUUCUCCUGGUGGAGUGACCCAAACCUUCAUUCCUGAAGGGUCUCGACCAUUUGUAGACCUGCCUGGAUUGGGCUAUUAUAGUUUCCCAUUGAUCUUAAUCACAGGGCAUGGUAAUACUAAGAGAUGCCCUAAUGGAUCUCCUGUGUUCCAUGCAUACUCUUCCUUACCUGAGUUAUGGAGUAGUAGACUGAUUUCUGGAUCAUUCUCAGCAAACUCCAUUUUCACAGAACAGCAGAGACUACACAUUGCUGUCCUGUGUAAUUCAAGAAUGGUUCUACUUAAUCACUAACAAGCAACCAGUGUGACUGUGAGAAGAAGACAUUUUGAGAGACGGAAUUAAUGUGCUUCUACAAAAGAGAUAGGGGAAAAAGGAAAAAAAAGAUUAACAUAACCACCUGUUUCUACUUGGAAGAAACUCUAGAGCGCAAAUGCAUUUAAAUGGAAUACUGCUUCAUGACAUCACCAAAAAAUCAUGGUCUGACCUCACAUCAUUACUAUAUCAUAUAAAUAUUAUUUCUAAGGAAGCCAAGAUUUUCUGAUUCAAGAUGUGGAGUAGAAAAGGACAAAAAUGAGAUCCUUAAGCAAAAGAAAGUUAGCCACUUGUUGAAAUCUGGACUCUGGGAGUACUGAAGUUCAAGCUACACCAUGGAACACAUAUGGAAUAUAACUUAUUCAUUACUUAAUUAAUUCACUUAUUUGAUAAAUAUUUGUUGUGUGACAUUAUGUCCCAAGCACUAUCCUAGGCAGUGAACAAAAAGACAAAGUCUCUUUCUCAUGGAGCUUACAUGCAGAUAGACAAAAAAUAGUAGGCACGACCAAUAAACUAUACACUGUGUUCAAAGGUGGUAAGUGCUAUGGAGAAAAUAUAAAGCAGGGAAAGGGAAUGAGUGACAGGGUGGAGAAAAGUACUGCUAUUUCUUAUAGAGUGCUUAGGGAAGACCAAACUCGCUAUAAUAAAUAAUCUAAUAUAUUUGAAUCAUAGUUAAUUCAGUCCAUAGUCAAACCUUCCGUUCAAUCUGUUAAUAUGCAAUACCUGCCGGGCGCGGUGGCUCACGCCUGUAAUCCCAGCACUUUGGGAGGCCGAGAUGGGCGGAUCACGAGGUCAGGAGAUCGAGAACACCCUAG